CGGAUCUGUUGUUGACGUUCCCGGCUUUGAUCCGUUUCCAUUUGGCCCUGCGGUUCUGAAACCAGAUUUUGACCUGGACCUCGCUGAGUUUGAGCGCGUGCGCGAUCUGAGAGCGCUCGAGGCCGAUGGCAUCGAGUCGUGAGGGCGGAGAGGCAGAUGUUUUUGCCCUCUUGUGAGAGAGAGGCUUUUCUAUUCUGUUGGGAGAAAGAGUGAAUCUGGCCGACAAUUAUCCCUAAGAGGGAGAUUUAACUGAUGAAAUGACGUUUGAAUGUAGAGAUCUGUGUGAACUCUUACUGAUCGUUUUGGGGGGAAUUAUUAUGUGUGUGUGUGUG